rfam:Escherichia coli ISC11, WGS project CBWP01000000 data, contig: c23
GACUGACAUCAGCGACUCGUUCUGCGAACCGUGACCGACGGCGAGAUAAGAGUGCAUACCCAGCUCUUUCAUCUGCUGCUCGCCGAUCACGCGGGUCACAACAUUUUUGCUGUAGCUGUCUGCCAGCUGACGCGCCUGAGAGGCCAGAUAAGCUGCGUUACAGAUGUUCGGCGGCAUGUUGCCGAGAUCUUUCGC